UAUAAUAGUUAAAACUUUCAACAACGGAUCUCUUGGUUCUGGCAUCGAUGAAGAACGCAGCGAAAUGCGAUAAGUAAUGUGAAUUGCAGAAUUCAGUGAAUCAUCGAAUCUUUGAACGCACAUUGCGCCCCCUGGUAUUCCGGGGGGCAUGCCUGUUCGAGCGUCAUUACAACCCUCAAGCUCUGCUUGGUGUUGGGCCCCGCCGCCCCGGCGGGCCCUAAAAUCAGUGGCGGUGCCGUCCGGCUCCGAGCGUAGUAAUUCUUCUCGCUCUGGAGGUCCGGGUGUGUGCUCGCCAGCAACCCCCAAUUUUUUUCAGGUUGACCUCGGAUCAGGUAGGGAUACCCGCUGAACUUAA
rnacentral:sRNA from 1 species